rnacentral:rRNA from 1 species
AGCGAACGCUGGCGGCAGGCUUAACACAUGCAAGUCGAGCGGGCGUAGCAAUACGUCAGCGGCAGACGGGUGAGUAACGCGUGGGAACGUACCUUUUGGUUCGGAACAACCCAGGGAAACUUGGGCUAAUACCGGAUAAGCCCUUACGGGGAAAGAUUUAUCGCCGAAAGAUCGGCCCGCGUCUGAUUAGCUAGUUGGUGAGGUAACGGCUCACCAAGGCGACGAUCAGUAGCUGGUCUGAGAGGAUGAUCAGCCACAUUGGGACUGAGACACGGCCCAAACUCCUACGGGAGGCAGCAGUGGGGAAUAUUGGACAAUGGGCGCAAGCCUGAUCCAGCCAUGCCGCGUGAGUGAUGAAGCCCUAGGGUUGUAAAGCUCUUUUGUGCGGGAAGAUAAUGACGGUACCGCAAGAAUAAGCCCCGGCUAACUUCGUGCCAGCAGCCGCGGUAAU